rnacentral:rRNA from 1 species
CGCAUCUGUGCAUGCAGCAUAUCAAUAAGCGGAGGAAAAGAAACUAACAAGGAUUCCCCUAGUAACGGCGAGUGAAGCGGGAAGAGCUCAAAUUUGAAAUCUUAAAGGGUUUCCCUUUACGAAUUGUAGUUUAAAGAAGUGUUUUCUGUUGAGGUUUUGGUAAAAGUUCUUUGGAAUAGGACAUCAUAGAGGGUGAGAAUCCCGUAUUUGACCUUUACUUUCAACUUUGUGAUACACUUUCAAAGAGUCGGAUUGUUUGGGAAUGCAGUCCAAAAUGGGUGGUAAAUUUCAUCUAAAGCUAAAUAUUGGCGAGAGACCGAUAGCGAACAAGUACCGUGAGGGAAGAGAUGAAAAGAACUUUGAGAAGAGAGUUAAGCAGUACGUGAAAUUGUCAAAAGGGAAGCGUUUGACACCAGUGUUGUUUUUCUGAAAAUCAAUUAAAGAACUGUUUAUGCUAAGUUGUUUAGACUUUAUCAGCUAACUGUUUAGUUUUGAGCUUUCUUUAAUGCACUUUUCAGUUAACAAGUCAACAUCAAUUUCUUUUGCUGUAAAAAAGCUUGAGGAAGGUGGCUUGAGAUUCGUCUUAAGUGUUUAUAGCCUCUUGCCUAUGCAGUCGGAGAGAUUGAGGUCUGCAGCGUAGAUCCUUCGGGGCUAAAUGCAUUUGUGCUAAGUUAUAGCAUUUUAUAGACAACUUGUUGACUAUGAUUUGUCUUGUAGCUUACUCGCUUAUGUUAUUUUACCUACGCUUAGGAUGUUGAGUCAUCACACAUCUCU